UACAGAGGUCUCAAGCGUUGUUCGGAUUCAUUGGCGUAAAGGGUGCGUAGGCGGCGCGGUAAGUCGGGUGUGAAAUCUCGGAGCUUAACUCCGAACUGCAUUCGAUACUGCCGUGCUUGAGGACUGGAGAGGAGACUGGAAUUUACGGUGUAGCGGUGAAAUGCGUAGAUAUCGUAAGGAAGACCAGUGGCGAAGGCGGGUCUCGUGGACAGUUCCUGACGCUGAGGCACGAAGGCCAGGGGAGCAAAACGGG
rnacentral:rRNA from 1 species